AGCUUUGCGCAGUGGCAGUAUCGUAGCCAAUGAGGUUUAUCCGAGGCGCGAAUAUUGCUAAUUGAAAAAAUAAGCAAUAUAAGCAAACAAAAAAACCUCAAAAUGAUUUUUCAUUUAGGAAAUGCAAUUUAAACCACAGUAAUAUA